rnacentral:rRNA from 1 species
CACGAAGGGGGCUAGCGUUGUUCGGAUUUACUGGGCGUAAAGCGCACGUAGGCGGAUCGUUAAGUCGGGGGUGAAAUCCUGGAGCUCAACUCCAGAACUGCCUUCGAUACUGGCGAUCUUGAGUCCGGAAGAGGUGAGUGGAAUUCCUAGUGUAGAGGUGGAAUUCGUAGAUAUUAGGAAGAACACCAGUGGCGAAGGCGGCUCACUGGUCCGGUACUGACGCUGAGGUGCGAAAGCGUGGGGAGCAAACAGG